AUGCACCUCAUAUCAUCAGAAUCCUGCGUACUCUCGAUCCUCAUAAUCCUUCGUGUCGAAGCUUACCUCACGCUGCGUCCUCGCCCGACCUCGCUGCUGAUGCAGCUUGUGUCCCCCAUCGCAGCAAGCUCCUGCUGGUUUGCCACUUCAAUGGCCACUGCCAAGCUAGCAGCACCGCCAUGGCCACUCACCCCGCUGACUAUUGUGGAGGUCUUCAUACUUUCUUCUCUAUGUCUCGCGUACACGUCUCGGCUAAGGACUCCAGGUCCAAACAACAGUUCUAUUAUUGGAGGGUCGCAACCCAGAACAACACCGCUCGAGCUCGUUGGCUCACUAACCCGCGCUUGCCAUCGGUUUCUCGCGCCGCCGUGCCGCAACAAGUCGCCGUCGUCGUGUGCGAGGUCGCCGUUGUCGUGA
rnacentral:rRNA from 1 species